rnacentral:rRNA from 1 species
AGCAGUCGCGGUAAUUCCAGCUCCAAUAGCGUAUAUUAAAGUUGUUGCAGUUAAAAGGCUCGUAGUUGAAUUUCGGGAUUGACACAUCGGUCGUGCCUUAAGGGGUAUGAACUGGUGUAGUCAAUUUCUCACCUUCUGGAGAACCGCGAUGCCCUUAAUUGGGUGUCGCGGGGAACCAGGACCUUUACUUUGAAAAAUUAGAGUGUUUAAAGCAGGCAUUUUGCUUGAAUACAUUAGCAUGGAAUAAUAAAAUAGGACGGCAUGAUUCUAUUUUGUUGGUUUCUAGGAUCACCGUAAUGAUUAAUAGGGAUAGUUGGGGGCAUUAGUAUUCAAUUGUCAGAGGUGAAAUUCUUGGAUUUAUUGAAGACUAACUACUGCGAAAGCAUUUGUCCAAGGAUGUCUUCAUUAAUCAAGAACGAAAGUUAGGGGAUCGAAGACGAUCAGAUACCGUCGUAGUCUUAACCAUAAACUAUAGCCGACUAGGGAUCGGAUGAUGUUAAUUUUUAAUGACUCAUUCGGC